AGAGAGUUGAGGAUGGCCGCUGGCCCGGUUCCCGGGUUAGAGGAAAGUCCGAGCUGCACAGAGCAAGGGUGCCCGGUGAAAGCCGGGGAAGCGCGGCAACGCGUUGACAGUCCACACUGGCGCGUCCCAGGAUGCGAGAACAACAGAGACCAAUCCCGUCGACUACGGUCGGGCGGGCUGAAAAGGGUAAUCCUCCCCGCAGCAAUCUCCGAUUCGACCGUUUGCAGGCUGCUCGCCAAGGUCGGAAGUCGAGAGCCGUCACGAAGGCGACGACGUGACCAGCCCUUGUGGCUGAGAGAGAUGGCCAUCACGAACAGAACUCGGCUUACUCCUUCUCUUCUG
rnacentral:RNase_P_RNA from 1 species